GUUUUAGUGAAGAAUACUAAUGCAAGAAAGGACAGAACAUAAACACUGACUAUAAAACAACAGUCCUAUUUAAUGUUGGGAUAGUCUUUAUAGGUCAGAAGUUUUUGGGCAUCAUUAUAUGUUAUAACUGGAUGAUCAAAAUGAGAACUUGAGUAUUAAAAAAAGAGAGAGAUUGGCCGGGCACAGUGGCUCACACCUGUAAUCUUAGCACUUUGGGAGGCCGAGGUGGGCAGAUCACCUAAGGUCAGGAGUUCGAGACCAGCGUGGCCAACAUGGUGAAACCCCGUCUCUACUAAAAGUACAAAAAUUAGCCGGGUAUGGUGGCGGGCGCCUGUAAUCCCAGCUACUCAGGAGGCUGAGGCAGGAGAAUCGCUUGAAUCUGGGAGGCAAAGGUGGCAGUGAGCCGAGAUCGCACCACUGCACUCCAGCCUGGGCAACAGAGCGAAACUCUGUCUCAAAAAAUCAAAUCAAAUCAAAUCAAAUCAAAUCAAAUCAAAUCAAAUCAAGAGAUUAAAUUACGUUCUGAACGGAACUGAGUAGAGAUGAUUCACUCAACUGAGCAGAGACGAUUCACAGUCUAGGAAGUACCCACUGGUAAGACAUUAAAGUAAGACCGUCUAAACACUAUUAUUUUCUUUGAAUGAUUUAAACCACUGGUUAACUCUGCACAUUAGUUCUAAUAUUUUGCCAUUAAAACAAAACCAAGCAGCAGGUAAAAUUUCUUAACUUUCUGUUUUAAUGAAAGAAUGAAACAUACAUUCAUAGUUAUAGAAAAGCCUUAAAUAACUUUCUAAUAAAUACAUACAAAAUUCCACCAGAAUCUUGAAAUAAAAGGUUUAAAGUUUGAGCAAUGUCUCAUUAAUAGGAUAAUGUGAAGCCCCCUAUCCACAAACUUCAUAGCAAUUUACUUACGGUGCUACUAUAGCAUUAUUUUAUAAUAAGAGAGUAGUAAAUUCUGUUUUUAUCUGCCAAUUUCAUCUUGAGUUCCCUGUGGACAAAAACCAUGUCUAUAUUUUUCUUAUUAGCAACUCAGUGUCAGGCAUAUGGUAUAGACUCAAUGUUGCUUAAAAAAAAUGAUGUCAUAACAGGAAUUUGUUUCUGUACUAAUAAGUAACGCUAAUAAGGAUGAAAUCAAGGCUAUAAGAAAAUGGGUCUUUUAUAGGUUGGUAAAAUUGAUGUUUGAAUAAUUUUGUAAUUCUCUCUAUGGCUGAAGCAUGAAAUAGCAAUAAAUUAUUUCUCUUGGUGAAUAGUUAAACCCCAAAAGUCUGAAAAGCUAUACGAAGAAAACUAAAAUAAUCCCUCCCCUCAAAAAACAUGAUUCCAGGCACCGUGGCAUGCACCUGUAAUCCUACCUACUUGGGAAGUUGAGACAGGAGGAUCACUUGAGCCCGAGAAUUCUAGACUAGACUGGGCAAUAUAGCAAGACACUGACUCUAAACAAAACAAAACAAUAACAAAAACAUAUCUUUUUCCCUACACUGAAAAUCAUAUCCCUUGUUAAACUUCUUUAUACUUCCAGAAAAGCUACGGAAAACACAUAAGAGUAAAUGCUGAUAUGAUAGCAACUCAUCUGUCCAGUAUGCUCAAGAACAAAGAGCUCCGAAUAAGGGAAAUUCAGGAGUACAUUAAAUCACUCUCAAGAAAAAAAUGUUUAAAAUUGUUGUGAUGAGAACUUUUUAAACUGUUAAAUACUCUGAAACUUCUCAGUUCAGAACAUAUUUUAAUCUUUUUUAAAUAUUCAAGUUCUUAUUUUGAUCAUCAAAUUAUAACAUCAUGUAAUGAUACCCAAAAACCUUUUUUUGUUUGUUUUUUGUUUUUUUAAGAUGGAGUUUCACUCUUGUCGCCCAGGCUGGAGUGCACUGGUGAAAUCUCGGCUCACUGCAACAUCUGCCUCCCGGACUCAAGCGAUUCAACUGCCUCAGCUUCCCAAGUAGCUGGGAUUACAAGUGCCUGCCACCAUGCCCAGCUAAUUUUUGUAUUUUUAGUAGAGACAGGGUUUCACCAUGUUGCCCAGGCUGAUCUUGAACUCCUGACCUCAGGUGAUCCACCCACCUCAGCCUCCCAAAGUGCUGGGAUUACAGGCGUGAGCCACGGCACCCAGCCAAUGCCCAAAAACUUCUGACCUGUAAAGACUACCCCACGUUAAACAGGGCUGUUGUUUUUAUUUACUUUAUUAUUAUUUUUGAGAUAGGGUCUUGCUAUGUCGCCCAGGCUGGGGUGCAGUGGCAUAAUCUCGGUUCACUGCAACCUCCACCUGCCGGAUUCAAGCGAUUCUCCUGCCUUGGCCUCCUGAGUAGCUGGGAUUACAGGCGCGUGCCACCACAGCCCGGCUAAUUUUUGUAUUUUUAGUAGAGAUAGGAUUUCACCAUAUUGGCCAGGCUGCUCUCAAACUCCUGAGCCCAAGUGAUCUGCCUGCCUCAGCCUCCCAAAGUGCUGGGAUUACAGGCGUGAGCCACCACACCUGGCUAAAUAGGGCUGUUGUUUGAGUCAGUAUUUACGUUCUAUCCUUUCUUGUAAAUACUACACCAACAAUCAACAAUAAAAAUUGAUGGUUUUGGCCAGACGUGGUGGCUCAUGCCUAUAAUCCCAGCACUAUGGGAGGCCGAAGUGGGUGGAUCACCUGAGGUCGGGAGUUAGAAACCAGCCUGAUCAACACGGAGAAACCCCAUCUCUACUAAAAGUACAAAAUUAGCCAGGCAUGGUGGCGCGUGCCUGCAAUCCCAUCUACUCGGGAGGCUGAGGCAGGAGAAUCGCUUGAACCUGGGAGGCAAAGGUUGCAGGGAGCCAAGAUCGCGCCAUUGCGCUCCAGCCUGGGCAACUAGAAACUCUGUCUCAAAAAAAAAAAAAAAAAAAAAAAAAAAUUGAUGGUUUUCGCAAAUACCACAUGUUCUCACUUAUUAUUUAAGAGCUAAAUGGGCCGGGCGCAGUGGCUCAGGCCUGUAAUCCCAGCACUUUGGAGGCUGAGGCAGGAGGCUCAAGAGGUCAGGAGAUCGAGACCAUCCUGGCUAACACGGUGGAACCCCAUCUCUACUAAAAAUACAAAAACAAAAUUAGCCAGAUGCAGUGGCAGGCACCUGUAGUCCCAGCUACUUGGGAGGCUGAGGCAGGAGAAUGGUGUGAACCCGGGAGGCAGAGCUUGCAGUGAGCCGAUAUGUCGCCUCUGGGCGACAGAGGGAGACUCCAUCUCAAAAAAAAAAAAAAAAAAAAAAAAGCUAAAUGAUGAGAACUCAAGGAUAUAACGAGGGGUAACAACAACAGACACUGGGGCCUACUUGAGGGUGGAGGGUGGGAGGAGGGAGAGGAUAAGAAAAAAUAACUAUUGGGUACUAGGCUUAGUAUCUGGGUGAUGAAAUAAUCCGUACACCAAAUCACCAUGAUGUGAGUUUACCUGUAUAACAAACCUACACAUGUACCCCUGAACCUAAAAUAAAAGUUUAAGAAAAAAGUAGAAAAUUGCUGGUUUUCGUCAACUUUCAUCUUGACUCUUCUACUUUUAAUUUGCUGUUAUUGACAAAGAACUGAUAGUUGCUUUAUAAAAUUAAGUUGUAAAACCAGUCACUCAAAUAUAAUAUGCACUGUGAAGUGAAAAAAAUCAGCACUUUAUCCCUCACUAUUCUUAGAUUUCCAAAUGGUGAGGUCACUAGAAGUUCAACAGACAAAUGGAACAUUACUAUACUUACUGGAAGUUGUAGUUUCCCACCCACCCCCUUUUUUUUUUCUUUUUAAAAAGAUGGGGGGUCUCAUAAUGUUUCCUAAGCUGGUCUCAAACUCCUGGGCCCAAGCCGUCCUCCCAUCUUAGCCUCCAUAGUAGAUGGAAACACCGGCGCACCACUGCACCCAGCUUAUCUUUAAUGGAAUUGCUAACUAGAUGUCAAAAAAAGUUUGACUUUUUGACUACAAAUUUUUGAUUAUUAUCCACUUAAAUAAAACAGUUAAGAAAGUGAUAAGGGGCCGGGCACGGUGGCUCACGCCUGUAAUCCCAGCACUUUGGGAGGCCGAGGCGGGCGGAUCACGAGGUCAGGAGAUCGAGACCAUCCUGGCUAAAACAGUGAAACCCCGUCUCUACUAAAAAUAGUAAAAAAUUAGCCAGGCGUGGUGGCGGGCGCCUGUAGUCCCAGCUACUCGGGAGGCUGAGGCAGGAGAAUGGCGUGAACCCGGGAGGCGGAGCUUGUAGUGAGCCGAGAUCGCGCCAGGGCGACAGAGCGAGACUAUGUCUCCAAAAAAAAAAAAAAAAAAAAAAAAAAAAAAAGGUGAUAAGGUUAUAGUUAGUAUGAAUUUCAAUAUUCAUCUUUGUUAACCAAAUGAUCUUUGAAAUAUAGUUCUGAUGAUAUUAUUUCCCCACAAUAAAAACCACAACAUCAAAUUUUUCCUGUUACCUUAAAAUCACUGUAUCAUUUUGUGGAUUCAAGUAUCCUUCAUUUGCGAGUAAGUCCAAACGGAAAAAUCUAUUAUAGCCCCAGCAUUCUCCAACUUCAAAGUCAGAUGCAAAUUCUCGAAUGAUAUUUUUUGUAGGAUCAUUACAGGACUGGUGAACCAUCUCUACACGAUAUUCAUAUCUAAAAUUGAAAAACAGACCAUUACUAUACAGUUAGUAAAGUAAGAAUAAAAAACAAACUCAUCUAAACAUUAAGGUCACUAAGUAAUUACCUGAGAAGAAACCUUAUUGAUAUACGCAGUUACAUUUCUUUUAUCAUUUAUAAAAACAGCAGUAUUUUGGGGUUUUUUUAUUUAUUUAAGAUGGAGUUUCACUCUUGUUGCCCAGGCUGGAGUGCAAUGGUGCAAUUUCAGCUCACUGCAUCCUCUGACUCCAGGUUCAAGUGAUUCUCCUGCCUCGGCCUACAGAGUAGCUGAGAUUACAGGCGUGUACCAUGCUUAGCUAAUUUUGUAUUUUUAGUGGAGACGGGGGUUCAUGUUGGCCAGGCUGGUCUUGAACUCCUGACCUCAGGUGAUCCACCCACCUUGGCCUCCCAGUGUGCUGGGAUUGCAGGCGUGAGCCACCACACCCGGCCAGAAAAAGAGCAGUAUUUUUUUGUUUGCUUUUUUGAGAUAGAGUCUCACUCUGUAGCCCAGGCUAGAGGGCAGUGGCGGGGUCUCAGCUCACUGCAACCUCUGCCCCCCAGUUCAAGUGAUUCUGCUGCCUCAGCCUCCCAAGUAGCUGAGAUUACAAGUGCACACCACCAUGCCCAGCUAAUUUUUUGUAUUUUUAGUAGAGACAGGGUUUCAUAAUGUUGGACAGGCUAGUAUCAAACUCUUGACCUCAGAUGAUCCACCCUCCUUGACCUCCCAAAGGGCUGGGAUUACGGGUGUGAGCCACUGCGCCCAGCCAAAACAGCAGUAUUUUGAACGAACCACCAAAACAUGAAUGGCAAUAGGUCCUUUUUUCCUCGUAAAGAUGUUUACCGAUAUAUCAGGUAUAAAACAACACCUCAAAAAAUAAAUAAAUUUUGAAUAAACAAGUAAUUCAAAGUUGCUUUUGUUUUACUAAUGCAAUAUUUUUUCCAUAUAUUCACUACAUAUGUUUCCUCAUAAAUAUUGUUAUUUCUAUUAUCCUUUGAGGUUUAUCACCUUGCAAUUUUAAAAUAUAAAUUUUGAAAUACUCUACUGUAUUUUGCCAGUACAAGUGAUAAGAAAGCAAAUUAUUGUGUAUUCAGAAAAUCAAAGGCUAUAAAAUUUCCUAAUAGAAAAUAAGUAUGCAGCCAUAAAAAAGAACGAGAUUAUGUUUUUUGUGCAACAUGGAUGGAUGGAGCUGGAGGCUAUUAUCCUCAGCAAACUAACACAGGAACAGAAAACCAAAUACCACGUGUUCUCACUUAUAUUGUGGGAGCUAAAUGAUGAGAACUUAUGAACACAAAGAAGGAAACAACAGACACUGGGGUAUGCUUGAGGGCAGAGGGUGGGAAAAAGGAGAGGAGCAGAAAAGAUAACUAUUGGGUACUGGGCUUAAUUCCUGGGUGAUGAAAUAAUCUGUACAAUGAACCCCCAUGACAUGAGUUUACCUAUGUAACAAACCUUCAUACGUAACACCAAACCUAAAAUAAAAGUUAAAAAGAAAAGAAAAAGGAAAAAGAAAAUAAGUAAGCUGGACACAGUGGCUAACACCUGUAAUCCCAGCACUUUAAGAGACCGAGGUGGGCAGAUCGCCUGAGCCCAGGAGUCUGAGACCAGCCUGGGCAACAUGGCGAAACCCCGUCUCCAUAAAAACAAAAAACAAAAAAAUUAGCUGGGUACGGUAGUGCAUUCCUGUAGUCCCAGCUACUUGGGAGACUGAGGCAGGAGGAUCACCUGGGCCCAGGAGGUUGAGGCUGCAGUGAGCCAUAAUUGUGCCACUGUGCUCCAGCCUCAGUGACACAGCAAGACCCUGUCUCAAAAAGAAAAGAAGUAUACAUUGGGAAAGCCAAUAUAUUCUAAUUUAUAUAUCCAAUCUUGUAAAAUUUUCAGGUUUACAAAAAGACAAAGAAGAUAGCCUAUAAACUUUUGUGCAUUAAUGCACAUUAUCAAGAAAAUGAAAAGAAAACCUACCAAAUGGGAGAAACUAUUUGCAAAUCAUAUGUCUGAUAAAGGUUUAGUAUCCAAAAUAUAUAAAGAAUUCUUGACCGGGCACAGUGGCACACACCUGUAAUCCCAGCAUUUUGGGAGGCUGAGGUGGGCGGAUCACCUGAGGAUACGAGUUCAAGACCAGCCUGGCCAAUAUGGUGAAACCCCGUUUCUACUAAAAAUACAAAAAUUGGCUGGGCGUGGUGGUGCAUGCCUGUAAUCCCAGCUAUUUUGGGAGGCUGAGGCAGGAGAAUUGCUUGAACCUGGGAGGCAGAGGUUGCAGUGAGCUGAGAUCAUGCCACUGUACUCCAAGCUGGGUGAUAAAGUGAGACUCAAAAUACAUUAAGUAAAUAAAUAAAUUGAGACAGGGUCUCACUCUGUCAUUCAGGCUGGAGUGCAGUGGUGCGGACACAGCUCAUUGCAGCCUCGACUUCCUGGGCUCAAGCAAUCCUCCUGCCUCAGCCUCCUGAGUAGCUGAGACGUAUGCAGGGUCUCACCAUAUUGCCCAGGCUGGUCUCAAAUUCCU
rnacentral:lncRNA from 1 species